rnacentral:rRNA from 1 species
CCUACGGUGCGCAGCAGUGGGGGAUAUUGCACAAUGGGGGGAACCCUGAUGCCGCGACGCCGCGUGGGUGAAGACGCGCCUCGGCGCGUAAAGCCCUGUCAGCAGGGAAGAAAAUGACGGUACCUGAAGAAGAAGCCCCGGCUAACUACGUGCCAGCAGCCGCGGUAAUACGUAGGGGGCAAGCGUUAUCCGGCUUUACUGGGUGUAAAGGGGGGGCAGACGGCGAUGCAAGCCAGGAGUGAAAGCCCGGGGCCCAACCCCGGGACUGCGCUUUGAACGGCGUGGCUGGAGUGCAGGAGGGGCAGGCGGAAUUCCUGGGGGAGCGGUGAAAUGCGUAGAUAUCAGGAGGAACACCGGUGGCGAAGGCGGCCUGCUGGACUGCAACUGACGUUGAGGCCCGAAAGCGUGGGGAGCAAACAGGAGUAGAUACCCCUGUAGUC